GGCUAGGCUGCCGGCGAAGACGCGGGUGGCCAGCGAUGGCCGCGGAGAGGGCGAGCUGGGGCCUGGCCCACAGAGGGCCGUGUGGAGGCAGCGGAUUGCGGAGCUCUCUGUCGAAUGCGUGCUGUGUGUUCUGCACCUGUCCGUCGCGCUGCUGCUAUCACCACUGCUGCUGCCCAGUAAGUGCCGGGGAUCCAGGGCUUCAAGCUUGCCAGAACUCUCUGCCACUAACCACGUCCACCCAGCCCUCCAUCAACAUCAAUUAUGUUUGUUGAUCACUUGGCUUGGGUAGUUUUGUCAGAUUUCUCCACCACAAAGGAUAGAGCCCAGAGUCCAAAUAAUUACAGUCUACAAAGGUACAGCAUAUAAGAAAAGCAUCGAAUAGAAACACUUAGACUCAUUUUGGGGUGACCAGGGAAGCCUUCCCAUGUACGCAGUGUUUCAUCUUGAGACACAAAAGAGAGCCUAAUUCCUGCAGAAGAAUAGCAAGUGUAAAGGCCCUGAGGCAGAAUUUGGCAUUGAGAAAAGCACAACUGUGGAGACAUGUGCCAUAAAGGGGACUCUGAGAUUGACAGGGGACACUAUACAGGGCCUGGUUUGCUAUA